rnacentral:rRNA from 1 species
UAAUUACAUGCAAGUCGAGGGGCAGCGCAGUGUAGCAAUACAUGGGCGGCGACCGGCAAACGGGUGCGGAACACGUACGCAACCUUCCUUUAAGCGGGGGAUAGCCCAUAGAAAUGUGGAUUAAUACCCCUUAAGAUCAUGGACUGGCAUCAGUCAGUGAUUAAAGCUCCGGCACUUAGAGAUGGGCGUGCGCCUGAUUAGGUAGUUGGUGAGGUAACGGCUCACCAAGCCGACAAUCAGUAACUGGCGUGAGAGCGCGACCAGUCACACGGGCACUGAGACACGGGCCCGACUCCUACGGGAGGCAGCAGUAAGGAAUAUUGGUCAAUGGACGCAAGUCUGAACCAGCCAUGCCGCGUGGAGGAUGAAGGUCCUCUGGAUUGUAAACUUCUUUUAUCUGGGAAGAAAUGCCUUUUUUCUAAAGGGUUUGACGGUACCAGAUGAAUAAGCACCGGCUAACUCCGUGCCAGCAGCCGCGGUAAUACGGAGGGUGCAAGCGUUAUCCGGAUUCACUGGGUUUAAAGGGUGCGUAGGCGGAAUUGUAAGUCCGUGGUGAAAUCUCCGAGCUUAACUCGGAAACUGCCGUGGAUACUAUAGUUCUUGAAUGUUGUGGAGGUUUGCGGAAUAUGUCAUGUAGCGGUGAAAUGCUUAGAUAUGACAUAGAACACCGAUUGCAAAGGCAGCAUGCUACACAAUAUUGACGCUGAGGCACGAAAGCGUGGGGAUCAAACAGGAUUAGAUACCCUGGUAGUCCACGCCCCUAAACGAUGAUUACUCCGACAUACGCGAUAUACAGUGUGUGUCUGAGCGAAAGCAUUAAGUAAUCCA